rnacentral:rRNA from 1 species
UACGUGAGGCAGCAAGCGUUGUUCGGAAUUACUGGGCGUAAAGAGUGUGUAGGCGGUGCUCUAAGUCUGUUGUGGAAAUCUCCCCGGCUUAACCGGGAGGGUGCGGCGGAAACUGGAGUGCUUGAGGGUGGGAGAGGUAAGCGGAAUUCCUGGUGUAGCGGUGAAAUGCGUAGAUAUCAGGAGGAACACCAAUGGCGAAGGCAGAUCUCUGGGCCGUAACUGACGCUGAGGAGCGAAAGCAUGGGGAGCGAACAGG